GGAGAGGUGGCUCAGUGGUUAAGAGCACUAGUUGCUCUUCCAGAGGUCCCAGGUUCAAUUCCCAGCAUCUACA
rnacentral:tRNA from 1 species